UGGGGAAUAUUGCGCAAUGGGGGAAACCCUGACGCAGCGACGCCGUGUGAGGGAAGAAGGCCUUCGGGUCGUAAACCUCUGUCGGGAGGGAAGAACCGCCGGUUUCCGAACAGGGAGCCGGUCUGACGGUACCUCCGAAGGAAGCGCCGGCUAACUCCGUGCCAGCAGCCGCGGUAAUACGGAGGGCGCGAGCGUUAAUCGGAAUCACUGGGCGUAAAGCGCGCGUAGGCGGCUGGAUAAGUCGGGCGUGAAAGCCCUCGGCCCAACCGAGGAACUGCGUUCGAUACUGUUAGGCUUGAGUCCUGGAGAGGGUGGCGGAAUUCCGGGUGUAGGAGUGAAAUCCGUAGAUAUCCGGAGGAACACCGGUGGCGAAGGCGGCCACCUGGACAGGUACUGACACUGAGGGGCGAAAGCGUGGGGAGCAAACAG
rnacentral:rRNA from 1 species